rnacentral:rRNA from 1 species
CAAUAGCGUAUAUUAAAGUUGUUGCAGUUAAAAAGCUCGUAGUUGGAUUUCCGGCAGGAGCGACCGGUCACACACUCUGUGUGUGAACUUGUGUUGUCUCUGGCCAUCCUUGGGGAGAUCCUGUUUGGCAUUAAGUUGUCGGGCAGGGGACAUCCAUCGUUUACUGUGAAAAAAUUAGAGUGUUUAAAGCAGGCUUAUGCCGUUGAAUAUAUUAGCAUGGAAUAAUAAGAUAGGACUUCGGAACUAUUUUGUUGGUUUGCGUUACGAAGUAAUGAUUAAUAGGGACAGUUGGGGGUAUUCGUAUUUCGUUGUCAGAGGUGAAAUUCUUGGAUUUCCGAAAGACGAACUACUGCGAAAGCAUUUACCAAGGAUGUUUUCAUUAA